UCAUCGUUCGCAGCAGCGUCCAAAGAAAACGUUCGUCCAAUUCGACGCUCUAGUUGUCGCAACAACUCAUAAUCAAUAAUUUGGAAAUCAUGCGAAUUCAUGUCCCCAGUACGCGUGCCACACGAAAACGACUGGGCAAACUCCUAUGGAUUCUCUGGCCGGCGAAACAUCUCCGGUGUUACCAGCGGAUUCGGACAGCGCGAGCUGAUGUGGUUGUUCUGAACGCCGCAACGGUAACACUUCCCUUGCUGCAUCCAUUGGUACUUCUCCCAAUUCGUAAGGAAAGUACCUAAACGGAGCGGAUUCGGAGUUCGUGAUAGUUCGUUGGGUCUGUUCAGAGCCGCCUGCAUAACUGACACCUUCGCAUCAGAAGACGGAGGUCGUGGAGGUACCAUUACAGGGGGUCCAGGGAUCGGAGGCGGUGGUCCAGCAGGCGCAACGGAACGCGCUGGCGGACGAACGGAGUUCAUGGCGUUGGUCGCAGUUCCAGCCACCACGGUGGGUUCGGUAGUCGGAGGUCGGUCCGCCCUGACGCGCUUCACAACGACAUCGCGCCACGGUUGUGGUUCGGUGUUUCGUUUGCCGGAGAGCUUCGAAGAGUCCUGUCGGGAGCCGUGAAAACGGUGCUUAGUUUUCGUGGAAGCGGCAGCAGCAUAGUGAAGAGCCGCGCGAGAUUGACCCUGCCCGCGAGCUCGC
rnacentral:lncRNA from 1 species